rnacentral:tRNA from 1 species
GCACGGAUGGCCGAGUGGUCUAAGGCGCCAGACUCAAGCAUAUAGCUUCGCGCGAGUUUAGUGCGAUUGGGCGUUCUGGUAUCCGUAUGGAUGCGUGGGUUCGAAUCCCACUUCGUGCA